UGGGGAAUAUUGCACAAUGGAGGGAACUCUGAUGCAGCGACGCCGCGUGAACGAAGAAGGCUUUCGAGUCGUAAAGUUCUUUUAUAUGGGAAGAUAAUGACGGUACCAUAAGAAAAAGCCCCGGCUAACUACGUGCCAGCAGCCGCGGAAAUACGUAGGGGGCUAGCGUUGUCCGGAAUCACUGGGCGUAAAGGGUUCGCAGGCGGAAAUGCAAGUCAGGUGUAAAAGGCAGUAGCUUAACUACUGUAAGCAUUUGAAACUGCAUAUCUGGAGAAGAGUAGAGGUAAGUGGAAUUUUUAGUGUAGCGGUGAAAUACGUAGAUAUUAAAAAGAAUACCGGUGGCGAAGGCGGCUUACUGGGCUCAUUCUGACGCUGAGGAACGAAAGCGUGGGUAGCAAACAGG
rnacentral:rRNA from 1 species